rnacentral:rRNA from 1 species
UACGGGGGGGGCAAGCGUUGUUCGGAAUUACUGGGCGUAAAGGGCUCGUAGGCGGCCAACUAAGUCAGACGUGAAAUCCCCAGGCUCAACCUGGGAACUGCGUCUGAUACUGGAUGGCUUGAAUCCGGGAGAGGGAUGCAGAAUUCCAGGUGUAGCGGUGAAAUGCGUAGAUAUCAAGAGGAACACCUGAGGUGAAGACGGGUUGCUGGGCCAACACUGACGCUGAUGCGCGAAAGCCAGGGGAGCAAACGGG